rnacentral:rRNA from 1 species
GACGAACGCUGGCGGCGUGCCUAAUACAUGCAAGUUGAGCGCUGAAGGUUGGUACUUGUACCAACUGGAUGAGCAGCGAGCGGGUGAGUAACGCGUGGGGAAUCUGUCUUUGAGCGGGGGACAACAUUUGGAAACGAAUGCUAAUACCGCAUAAAAACUUUAAACACAAGUUUUAAGUUUGAAAGAUGCAAUUGCAUCACUCAAAGAUGAUCCCGCGUUGUAUUAGCUAGUUGGUGAGGUAAAGGCUCACCAAGGCGAUGAUACAUAGCCGACCUGAGAAGGUGAUCGGCCACAUUGGGACUGAGACACGGCCCAAACUCCUACGGGAGGCAGCAGUAGGGAAUCUUCGGCAAUGGACGAAAGUCUGACCGAGCAACGCCGCGUGAGUGAAGAAGGUUUUCGGAUCGUAAAACUCUGUUGGUAGAGAAGAACGUUGGUGAGAGUGGAAAGCUCAUCAAGUGACGGUAACUACCCAGAAAGGGACGGCUAACUACGUG